UGAGGAAUAUUGGUCAAUGGGCGAGAGCCUGAACCAGCCAAGUCGCGUGAAGGAUGAAGGAUCUAUGGUUUGUAAACUUCUUUUAUAUGGGAAUAAAGUGAGGAACGUGUUCCUUUUUGUAUGUACCAUAUGAAUAAGCAUCGGCUAACUCCGUGCCAGCAGCCGCGGUAAUACGGAGGAUGCGAGCGUUAUCCGGAUUUAUUGGGUUUAAAGGGUGCGUAGGUGGUUAAUUAAGUCAGCGGUGAAAGUUUGUGGCUCAACCAUAAAAUUGCCGUUGAAACUGGUUGACUUGAGUAUAUUUGA
rnacentral:rRNA from 1 species